UUCCUGUACUCCAUCAUGGCACAGGAUCAAGGUGAAAAGGAGAACCCCAUGCGGGAACUUCGCAUCCUCGCAAGCUCUGUCUCAACAUCUGUGUUGGGGAGAGUGGAGACAGAUUGACCCGAGCAGCCAAGGUUUUGGAGCAGCUCACAGGGCAGACCCCUGUGUUUUCCAAAGCUAAAUACACUGUCAGAUCCUUUGGCAUCCGGAGAAAUGAAAAGAUUGCUAUCCACUGCACAGUUCGAGGGGCCAAGGCAGAAGAAAUCUUGGAGAAGGGUCUAAAGGUGCGGGAGUAUGAGUUAAGAAAAAACAACUUCUCAGAUACUGGAAACUUUGGUUUUGGGAUCCAGGAACACAUCGAUCUGGGCAUCAAGUAUGACCCAAGCAUUGGUAUCUACGGCCUGGACUUCUAUGUGGUGCUGGGUAGGCCAGGUUUCAGCAUUGCAGACAAGAAGCGCAGGACAGGCUGCAUUGACGCCAAACACAGAAUCAGCAAAGAGGAGGCCAUGCGCUGGUUCCAGCAGAAGUAUGAUGGGAUCAUCCUUCCUGGCAAAUAAAUUCCCGUUUCUAUCCAAAAGACCAAUAAAAAGUUUUCAGUGGAAAAAAAAAAAA